CAAAGGGAGAUGGGACUUCCACUGAUUCUGAGAGAUACUCGGUGCAAUGGAUACCGAGAUGAAUGAGGCAAGAUGCGUGAACUCUAGCGGCCUUGGAAGAAGACACAGCCAAAGCUUGCAUUUUGAAGUGGUAAAGAUGAACCAACUGUGAGUGAGCUCUGAAGCCUCUGAGAAAGGAGCUGCCUGCCUGGGGGAUCCCAUCCUGGUAUGUGUUUCAAGAUGCAGAUGACGCCACACCUUCUGACAGCUGUGGCUUCAAAAAUGUUCCUUUUCACAGUUUUACAUUCUCCCCACCCCAGUGGCUGGAGAGUGAACAUUAUUAUGCCUUCUGAUCAGUGUUUUUAAAGAAGCCUCCAGGUGACUCAGAUGAAGUUGGGCAGUGUGCUUACAGUUCUUGCCAGUGAUGAAAAGUACAAACAGAGCUUUCUCUGAACCUCAGGGCCAAGGAAAAUUAAGUGCAGAAGGACACGUGGCCCUUCACAGUACACAUGAGACAGACAAGCCACCACCUCAGAAAGACAGUUUUAAACAGAUGUGGGGACUCUUCUUAUCAGAACAUCCCUCAGUCCCUCCAUGUAGAAAUCUGCUAUCGGCCACAGGCAGGCCCCAACCUGCUAUGGGGAUGGGUCUGAAUUGUUUCUGUAAUUGCUAUAAACAUGUAAGCUAGAUAAACAAGGUGCAUUACUUUGGAAAGUUUCCCAGCCAGGAUAAAUUCCCAAGCAGAAAUAAGCAUAUCAAAAUCUUUGAUCUCAUUUUACAAAAUACGACUAACUUCACACAGUUUUCAACACUUUAUAUGUGUCAUCUUUGAAUAAGAUACGCAUUAGAAAUAUGAAUGAUCCAGCUUCAGUCCAGCUACUUUAGCCAUCUUUUUCUUGGGUCACAGACGUGCCCCAUUUUCCUACGUGGCUCCUUUUGUAAAGCCCUCUCUCUUUUGUGGGCUGUUCAAACAGCCCAAGUUCAAACACUGGGGCCAGGCAUUAAAGUAAAAGAAAUCUGAAAUAAUUAGGCCUGGAAAACGAGGUGCCAAAAGCCCCAGAUAUCUUUGGAGUAUUAUUUCAGAAAACAGGAAACGCAGGUUUUCUUUUGGGCUCUGACAUUUCAAGUUUCUCCAUCAUUUUUACCAUCUGUAAAGUGUUGACUGUUCCAACCCCUCCCAUCUAUAUCUCAGGCACAUUAAGAAUGAUUCCAAUUAAUUGUAAAUGAGUGC
rnacentral:lncRNA from 1 species